rnacentral:rRNA from 1 species
GGCGAACGAACUGCAGUGAUCCUCUUUUUAAUCAACAGUACACAUAUUACAAUGAUGAAGGACUUAAAAAAUAAAUCCACAUUUUUGUCCAUGAAAUGCAAGCCGGCCCCGACGCACUGCCUGUCCAGCCCUCACAGCAUUGCACCUGUGUGGCCAUGGGAUCGCAGCAAAAACCUGAAAAAGGGAAAAAUGUCAACCGUGAGCAAAAUACACAAAAAAACACCAUCGUCCUGCCCCUAUCUCCGUGGACUGCACGCACAUGGGUGCCGCACUGCAUGCCAGCGCCACGUGAACCACCUCAAAACACAAACAAAAUUCAAAUAGUGGGUUGCACGGCCAUGCGCCGCGGCCAGGCGCACUUCAAGUCUGCAGACGCUCAGACUGCAAGGGGAGGAGGGACAGCUCGCUCUUGGCGAUCUGGAGCGCGAUUGUGAAUCUGUGGCUGGUCAUUAUUUUGUGACCAAAACUGCAUUGAAUUGAUCUGCCAGGACCUCCACUUCAACGAAUAGCAGAUAAAACACAACGCCAAACCUGAAAAAAAACAAAAAAAAGCUUAUGGACUGCGUCGAGAGGACUCUGCACUGCGUCAACAACACACAAAAUUUGACCAUGGAUGAUAGCCUGUUGAGGGAGUGCACAGGGGUGCUGGAGUCACGCUGGACGUCGACGUGUUUCUAGAGGCAACCCAGGAUCUGUGGUAGCUUGCACACGCGGCAGGACCCACCGGAGAAGGUUUGCUGGAGAAGGGGGGGUGACAUAGGGACGACAGUGGGCGGCGCGCUCGGAUGGUGGUGGCUCGGCAUGGCGUCGAUCUUGCCAGAUUUGGGAGGGGCGUCGCCGGGCAGGGGCUGUGGCCGCACCCGGGGCAAGGCGAGGCCAGGGCCAUGGAGUCCGGCGUCGCGGGGUGGGACCGUUGUGCGAUUGGAGGAGUGGCGCGCCGUGGCAGUUGCCUCUCCCGACGGUUUCUCACCUGGGGGAAAUGGGGGCGCUGUGGCCGGCAACUGAGGGGCUGGUCUAGUGCUCACGAGGACACUGGGGGACGAGCAAGAGAGCAUGUCGCCAGCGCCCCAAUCGUGAGAUCCGGCGAGCCCGUGAACGGAGCUCGCGACCCCGAUGCAG